UGGCUCACGCAUCGAUGAAGAACGCAGCGAAAUGCGAUAAGUAAUGUGAAUUGCAGAAUUCAGUGAAUCAUCGAAUCUUUGAACGCACCUUGCACCCCACGGCUUUCCGUGGGGUACGCCCGUUCGAGUGUCACGUUAACAUCGAGGUUUCCUCGGAUUUGGACGUUGCCGGCGAAAGUCGGCUCGUCUCGAAAUGCAUUAGCUAGAGUGCUCGCAGGCACGGCGUUGAUAACUUCCACGUCUUGACUUUGGGCGCCCUGCUUCCAAUCGCCCUCGGGCAAUGUACACCAAGUUUGACCUCGGAUCGGGUGGGACUACCCGCUGA
rnacentral:misc_RNA from 1 species